GGAUUUAUUAACUCUCGAGCUUCACCAAGCCUGCUAGGAACUACUGGUGGUGGGAAUGGAUUAGGCAAAGUUAUGCCUACAAAGUCUCCGCCUCCACCCGGAGGAGGUAAUCUUGGAAUGAACAAUCGCAAACCAGACCUUCGUGUUGUCAUCCCACCUUCCAGCAAGGGCAUGAUGCCUCCAUUGUCGGAGGAGGAUGAAUUGGAGUUGGUGAGUUUGGGUUCCUGCUUGAUGAGUGAAGAAAGCUUAAGUCAUACUACGUGGUCUCAGUUAUACCAAUGUUCCCUUUGUGGCAGAGAAAUGUACUUGUUUUAUCCAAAUAAAAAA